CUGGAACUGUCUCGUUGAAGAUCAUCACAACUCGAGGCAGAGAAAGAGAAGAAGGACCUGUCCGAUUCAGAAGGAUUUAAAUGUCUUUAUUUGUGAUGCUGGUGCUUCUGCUUACAGCAGCAGUAACUGGAGAAGACAUCCCGUCCUUCACCGUCAGAGAGGGAGAUGAAGUCACUUUGCCUUGUGGAAAUGUGAUAGAAUGUCAGCAGAACUGUGACGGGACUUCUUGGCUUAUCAGCCAGGGAUUUGUGGGCGCUUUAGAGCUGGUUACACGUGGGAAUAUCAGUGAAAAAGCCGUCGAUUUAUCCAACAGGCUGAGAGUCGUAGCAAACUGUUCUCUGGUAAUAACGGAGGUCAGUAUGUUGUAUGUUGGUCGUUACGCCUGCAGGCAGUUCAAAUCAGGAGAACAACACGGUCAGGAUGCUCAUGUGGAUCUGUCUGUUCUGGAAAUUGGGGAAUUAUUGUCCAAAGAUGAGUCCAGCUUCUCCUGCUCUGUGGACACAUAUGACAACGGGUGUUGGCACACAGUACAGUGGUUGUAUACAGGAAGUAUGAAUGACAUGGUGACAUCACAGGCUACAUGUUCAGCCACUGUGACAUUUAGAACUCCUCCUAUGACCAGGCACUAGAUUUGUGAGUUGCUGAUCUGCACGUGACAGACAGUAAGAGUGGACAAACACUGUUGAGUAAUGUCGGCAGCCAAUCCUCGCGUAAGAACACAGCAAGCACAUCACCAGGGAGGGAGGACGAAGCUCCAAUGAAACCUGGUUAUUUAAAGUUCAUAAUUUUCUGUGUGGGCUUAGCAGCACUCAUAACAAUUGUUGUGGUCGUCAAUAUAUGGGUGAGAACCGAAGGGAAGAAAAAACUCAGAUGGAUGACGCUGACGAUGCUGUGCAAAAUGACGACGGUGGAGAUGAUGAUGAUGAUGCAGUCUUCUAUGAGAACUCCGGUGGCCGUGAUACCUGUUAGACUAGAAUUAGUAACGACCUCAGGAUCUACAUCAACUUAAAAAAUCAAAAUAGGAGAAAAUAUGUAAUAGCCUAUGAGCUUCAGUGUCUUUCCGUUUUAUUAUAGUUUAAAAAAAA